GAUGAACGCUAGCGACAGGCUUAACACAUGCAAGUCGAGGGGCAGCGGGGGUAGCAAUACCCGCCGGCGACCGGCGCACGGGUGAGUAACGCGUAUGCAACUUACCUAUCAGAGGGGGAUAACCCGGCGAAAGUCGGACUAAUACCGCAUGAAGCAGGGGCCCCGCAUGGGGAUAUUUGCUAAAGAUUCAUCGCUGAUAGAUAGGCAUGCGUUCCAUUAGGCAGUUGGCGGGGUAACGGCCCACCAAACCGACGAUGGAUAGGGGUUCUGAGAGGAAGGUCCCCCACAUAGGUACUGAGACACGGACCAACCUCCUACGGGAGGCAGCAGUGAGGAAUAUUGGUCAAUGGGCGCGAGCCUGAACCAGCCAAGUCGCGUGAGGGAUGAAGGUUCUAUGGAUCGUAAACCUCUUUUAUAAGGGAAUAAAGUGCGGGACGUGUCCUGUUUUGUAUGUACCUUGUGAAUAAGGAUCGGCUAACUCCGUGCCAGCCGCCGCAGUAA
rnacentral:rRNA from 1 species